CAAGCACCUUUGUCCAAUUAUCCAAAUGCAUUCUUUUUCAGAACAGCUUGGAGGAGCCCAGAGCUGCUGGCUGGCCUAUGGUGCAGAUACCCCAAGCUUGAGAUUCCUCUUUCAGAAAAAAGGUUUGGAUUGUCUGCCUAAGGGGCCCAUUUCCCUGAUUGCUUCAACAGUCUCACCCUGUCCUCCUGAAACUCCUGUUCUGUACAAGUUUACAAGGUCAAAACGUUUCAGCAGAUGUACUUAAACACACUGAGCAAGUCACCACUUUGUCUUCUUUUUGAUAACCUAAGCAGAUUGAAUGGGUUUAGACAUUUUCUCCAGCUCUCAAAUCAUGUUGCAGCCUCUCCAGUUUCUCAACAUCCUAUCCAAAAUGCAAACACCAGAGAUAUCUGUGAUGGUUUUUUAGUAUCCAUC